AGUCGAACGGGAUUUAGUAGACAGCAAACCUCGGUGGAAGAUUACUAAUGAGAGUGGCGAACGGGUGAGUAACGCGUGAGCAACCUGCCUAUGACAGUGGGAUAGCCUCGGGAAACCGGGAUUAAUACCGCAUAAAAUCGUAGAAACACAUGUUUUAACGGUCAAAGAUUUAUCGGUCAUAGAUGGGCUCGCGUCUGAUUAGCUAGUUGGUGAGAUAACAGCCCACCAAGGCGACGAUCAGUAGCCGGUCUGAGAGGAUGAACGGCCACAUUGGAACUGAGACACGGUCCAAACUCCUACGGGAGGCAGCAGUGGGGAACAUUGCACAAUGGGGGAAACCCUGAUGCAGCGACGCCGCGUGAACGAAGAAGGUAUUCGUAUCGUAAAGUUCUGUCCUAUGGGAAGAUAAUGACAGUACCAUAGAAGAAAGCUCCGGCUAAAUACGUGCCAGCAGCCGCGGUAAUACGUAUGGAGCGAGCGUUGUCCGGAAUUAUUGGG
rnacentral:rRNA from 1 species